rnacentral:rRNA from 1 species
UAACCGCGCCCCGAGUGGUGAUCACGUUUAUUGGGCCUAAAGCACCCGUAGCCGGCUUGGUAAGUCCUUGGUGAAAUCCAGUAGCAAACUACUGGGCUGGCCAGGGAUACUGCCUCGCUAGAGACCGGGAGAGGGUAAGGGUAUUCCGCAUGUAGGGGUAAAAUCCGUUAAUAUGCGGAGGACCACCAGUGGCGAAGGCGCUUACCCAGAACGGCUCUGACGGUGAGGGGUGAAAGCUGGGGGAGCGAUCGGG